AGGACGAACGCUGGCGGCGCGCUUAACACAUGCAAGUCGAGCGAGAACCAGGGCUUCGGCUCUGGGGACAGCGGCGAACGGGUGAGUAACACGUGGGUAAUCAACCCUCGACAUCGGGAUAGCCCGGGGAAACCCGGAUUAAUACCGAAUGCUCCGUCUGGCCUUCGGGCCGGCCGGAAAAGGUAGCUUCGGCCUCCGGUCGGGGACGAGCCCGCGGCGGAUUAGCUUGUUGGUGGGGUAAAGGCCCACCAAGGCGACGAUCCGUAGCUGGUCUGAGAGGACGAUCAGCCACACUGGGACUGAGACACGGCCCAGACUCCUACGGGAGGCAGCAGUGGGGAAUCUUGCGCAAUGGGCGAAAGCCUGACGCAGCGACGCCGCGUGAGGGAAGAAGGCCUUCGGGUUGUAAACCUCUUUCAGGAGGGACGAAGCCACUCGGGUUAAUAGCCCAGAGGGUGACGGUACCUCCAGAAGAAGCCCGGCUAACUACGUGCCAGCAGCCGCGGUAA
rnacentral:rRNA from 1 species